GACGAACGCUGGCGGCGUGCUUAACACAUGCAAGUCGAACGGAAAGGCCCUGCUUUUGUGGGGUGCUCGAGUGGCGAACGGGUGAGUAACACGUGAGUAACCUGCCCUUGACUUUGGGAUAACUUCAGGAAACUGGGGCUAAUACCGGAUAGGAGCUCCUGCUGCAUGGUGGGGGUUGGAAAGUUUCGGCGGUUGGGGAUGGACUCGCGGCUUAUCAGCUUGUUGGUGGGGUAGUGGCUUACCAAGGCUUUGACGGGUAGCCGGCCUGAGAGGGUGACCGGCCACAUUGGGACUGAGAUACGGCCCAGACUCCUACGGGAGGCAGCAGUGGGGAAUAUUGCACAAUGGGCGGAAGCCUGAUGCAGCAACGCCGCGUGCGGGAUGACGGCCUUCGGGUUGUAAACCGCUUUCGCCUGUGACGAAGCGUGAGUGACGGUAAUGGGUAAAGAAGCACCGGCUAACUACGUGCCAGCAGCCGCGGUGAUACGUAGGGUGCGAGCGUUGUCCGGAUUUAUUGGGCGUAAAGGGCUCGUAGGUGGUUGAUCGCGUCGGAAGUGUAAUCUUGGGGCUUAACCCUGAGCGUGCUUUCGAUACGGGUUGACUUGAGGAAGGUAGGGGAGAAUGGAAUUCCUGGUGGAGCGGUGGAAUGCGCAGAUAUCAGGAGGAACACCAGUGGCGAAGGCGGUUCUCUGGGCCUUUCCUGACGCUGAGGAGCGAAAGCGUGGGGAGCGAACAGGCUUAGAUACCCUGGUAGUCCACGCUGUAAACGGUGGGUACUAGGUGUGGGGUCCAUUCCACGGGUUCCGUGCCGUAGCUAACGCUUUAAGUACCCCGCCUGGGGAGUACGGCCGCAAGGCUAAAACUCAAAGGAAUUGACGGGGCCCCGCACAAGCGGCGGAGCAUGCGGAUUAAUUCGAUGCAACGCGUAGAACCUUACCUGGGUUUGACAUGGAUCGGGAGUGCUCAGAGAUGGGUGUGCCUCCUUUGGGGUCGGUUCACAGGUGGUGCAUGGCUGUCGUCAGCUCGUGUCGUGAGAUGUUGGGUUAAGUCCCGCAACGAGCGCAACCCUUGUUCACUGUUGCCAGCACGUUAUGGUGGGGACUCAGUGGAGACCGCCGGGGUCAACUCGGAGGAAGGUGGGGAUGACGUCAAGUCAUCAUGCCCCUUAUGUCCAGGGCUUCACGCAUGCUACAAUGGCUGGUACAGAGAGUGGCGAGCCUGUGAGGGUGAGCGAAUCUCGGAAAGUCGGUCUCAGUUCGGAUUGGGGUCUGCAACUCGACCUCAUGAAGUCGGAGUCGCUAGUAAUCGCAGAUCAGCAACGCUGCGGUGAAUACGUUCCCGGGGCC
rnacentral:rRNA from 1 species